GGUUACUCCUUUCGGGAGGCAGCAGUGGGGAAUAUUGGACAAUGGGCGAAAGCCUGAUCCAGCAAUGCCGCGUGAGUGAUGAAGGCCUUAGGGUUGUAAAGCUCUUUUACCCGGGAUGAUAAUGACAGUACCGGGAGAAUAAGCUCCGGCUAACUCCGUGCCAGCAGCCGCGGUAAUACGGAGGGAGCUAGCGUUAUUCGGAAUUACUGGGCGUAAAGCGCACGUAGGCGGCUUUGUAAGUUAGAGGUGAAAGCCUGGAGCUCAACUCCAGAAUUGCCUUUAAGACUGCAUCGCUUGAAUCCAGGAGAGGUGAGUGGAAUUCCGAGUGUAGAGGUGAAAUUCGUAGAUAUUCGGAAGAACACCAGUGGCGAAGGCAAACUCACUGGACUGGUAUUGACGCUGAGGUGCGAAAGCGUGGGGGCAAACAGGAUUAGAUACCCUGGUAGUCCACGCCGUAAACGAUGAUAACUAGCUGUCGGGGCUCUUAGAGCUUCGGUGGCGCAGCUAACGCAUUAAGUUAUCCGCCUGGGGAGACGCCA
rnacentral:rRNA from 1 species